rnacentral:lncRNA from 1 species
CCUAAUGUAUAGUAUAAACAGAGAUAAAUAACUGCUGAAAAGGUGGUUCAUUAGGUAGAAUAGAUGAAUAGUCAGGAAAAGUAGUUAUCAUUUGUAGUAUAGGAGUUGGUAUCUCGGGGUAGUAUAAGGAGGAUGGAAGAAGGGAAGAAAAUGCCAGACUGUGAGAGUUGUGAGCCGAGGUAAGCUUGGUGCUAUCUCUUUUCUUUUGUUUGUUAUUUUCUUUGAAUAAGAGGAUUGAAAGUUUCUGAAUAUUGUGAAGUGAAUUAUGGAAUAGAAAUGUGAUUGGUAUUAUUUGAGAAGAAGAAAGAUUGAAUGCUGAAAUCUGAUUGUAGUUCAGCAGAGAGAAUGAAUCUGUGUUUGUGUGAAAUACUGUAAUGUGAAUGGCAGUUCUGUGUGAAGAAUUCUAGUGAUUGGUACGAGGGUAAUUGUGUGCUGAAAGCUGUGAGGGUGCAGUAUUACAAUUGGAGAUUAUGAGGGUGAAUAUAUUGGUAGAAAUAGCAGUUAUUGGUAUGACUGAAUUGCUGUAAAGAAGAGACUAAUAAGGUGAAGGAGGAGAUUAUAAUUUCCU